UGACAGUCAUUGAAGAAGUGCUAAAGGCAAUUGGCCUGUGAUAAAGGCAUUGGAGAGGUGGUAAAGGCAUUGGGUCUGUGAUAAAGGCAUUGGAGAGGUGGUAAAGGCAUUGGGUCUGUGAUAAAGGCAUUGGAGAGGUGGUAAAGGCAUUGGGUCUGUGAUAAAGGCAUUGGAGAGGUGGUAAAGGCAUUGUAGAGGUGGUAAAGCCAUUGGGUCUUUGAUAAAGGCAUUGAGAGGUGGUAAAGCCAUUGGAUCUGUGAUAAAGUUAUUGGAGAGGUGGUAAAGCCAUUGGGUCUGUGAUAAAGGCAUGGAGAGCUGUUAAAGGCAGUGGGUCUGUGAUAAAGGCAGUGGAGAGGUGGUAAAGCCAUUGGGUCUGUGAUAAAGGCAUGGAGAGGUGGUAAAGGCAUUGGGUCUGUGAUAAAGCCAUUGGGUCUGUGAUGAGUGAUAAGUCUGUGUAGGUGUUUAAACAGGUGUUGAUGUGUUGGUGAGGUUUUUAGGCACUGGGCAGUUGUUGAGACUUGGAUUAAGUGUUGUGCCUUCGGGCAGGUGUUGCAGUUUUU
ensembl:lncRNA